UUCUUCUUUGUUGAUCUAUGUUUUUCUUUUUCGUCCAUGUAUAUCAACUAUCAUAUUCUCCCUCAUUUUUUCGCAGUGAUUAUAGUAUUAUUUUUGUUUAUAGCUUUUUGAGUUUUUUUGUUUCGAUUUUAGUAUGCAUGUUCGUUUUUAUCUUGUUUUUUAUGGUAUAAUUGUGAAUGUGGGUUGAUUUUUGUGUUUUAUGGUUUGUUUCUGAAUUUUGGUAGAAUGUGGGUUGAUUUUGGUUGUUUUUUAUGGUUUGUUUAUGAAUUUUGAUAGAAUGUUGGUGAUUUUGAUUGUUUUUUUUUUUAUUGUUUGUAUUCAUCAUUUUGGUUGUUUUUCAUGAUUGUUUUUUAUCGUUUGUUUCUAAAUUUUGGUAGAAUGUGGAUUGAUUUUCGUUAUUUUUUAGGUUUUGUUUCUGAAUUUUGGUUGAAUGUGGGUUGAUUUUGAGCAAGUUUUAGCAGAUUUAUUUCUCAAUAUGGUUUUCGCAGUGGGUAUAUGUUGUGGUGUUGAUAACAAUUUGAGGUAUUAGCAGGAGCCAAAGCAAAGUUUCAUACUUAGUUUUUUUCUAACUAUAAUGUUUGCUUUUUCUCAGAGUAUGAAGGUGAAAAUGUCUUCAUCUAGAACUUGUGAGAUGACUAUCAGUAGAGGGAUUAAAUACUAUGUUGGCAGCAACUUGCCUUUGACCCUUGAUGCUACAAAUGAUGAUGAUUUCAUGUCCCUUGUUGCUCCCACAAAUAGUUGUCAACAAGAAAGCACUCGAAUCACCCUCUCGCAGACGAAGAAGGUUGAUAACCUUGUUAAGAAUAUCAAGCCGAGGACUAAGAAAUGUGGUUGACCUGAGAGAGAUAAAGUGAGGUUGAAACUUGUUGAUGAAUAUGAUGAUGAUGAUGCUGCCAAAAAGAAAAAGAAAAAGGGAAAGGUCGUCAAUGUAGCUGAAGGUAGUUCUUAUGCAGUAUUGAAAGAACAAAGGAUAUCUACUCAAUGUAAAUUUAAGGAAAGAAAAUUUCAGUUGAAGAUGAAGUACUGCAACAUUUCUCCUACCAGUGAGGAAAAAUCAAACUUGAACAUUGCUCUAUUUUUUGAAGAUAUCAAUGCCGACUAUGUUUCUUCACGGGGUUUGCCUGCUUUUCAGAAUAAUGAUUCUAACAUUCCAUCCCCACCUCAUCCUCGAAAUAUGGAGCAGCAGCCUAAACAACCUCAUCCUCAGAAUAUGAAGCAACAAUACAUAUUGAGACGCAAUCCUCCGCGAGCGAGAGCAGUGAUGAUUCAAAGGCUGAAGUUAUAGUUGAGGGGUGACAUUUCAAAGCUUACUUAUGCAAUUGCGGCACUCAACAUUUACAUCAUAUCUUCCUUUGGAAGAAUAUUCGAGCAUUUGAAAAUUAAGCAAACUAGGGAUGAGGUUCUUGGUUCCGAGAAUCAUCAAGGAAAUGCUGAUGAUGACGGUGCAUCUGGGCUAGGCAAUGAUAUUUCCAUAAUUAUGAUUAUGUUCCCCCCACUCCAAGCAAGUGUUUGAACUAAACACAUUGCCUGACCAAACAGCGGCAAGUGUCAAGGGAAAUGAGCAAGUUACUGAUCUCCCCCCCCCCCCUCACCAUCCCUACCCCCAGCAAGUGCAUGAACUAAACACACGAGCUGACCAACCCGCGUCAUGCGUCAAGGGAAAUGAGCACGUUAUUGAUGUGGUAGCAGGUGAUGGUGUUGCCCCCCCCCCCCCCUCUCCCGAGCAAGUGCAUGAACUGAACACGCGAGCUGACUAAACUGCGUCAUGUGUCAAGAGAAAUGAGCACGUUAGUGAUGGUCUUCCUGUGGUAGCAGGUGAUGGUGUUUUCCCCUCGAGCAAGUGCAUGAAGUAAACAUGCGAACUGACCAACCAGAAUCAGGUGUCAAGGAAAAUGAGGAAGUUACUGAUGGUCAUCUUGGUAUUUUGUGAUGUACGUUGUUUUCUUUCUUUCGCUAACUUCAUACUUGUUUUUCAUCUUGUAUUACUCUCUUUUCGCUAUCUAAGUGGCAGCAGGUGAUGGUGUCAAGGGACGAUCUCUGGAAUGCUAUUUGUGAUGAAGAGUUUGCCAAGAUAAAGAUGUCUCAGAUUGCGCUUCCUAGACCUUCGAAUUGUAUUAGUGAUGAAGAGUUAUCCAAGAUAAAGUUGUUCCAGAUUGGACUUCCUAGACCACUCAUCAUGGAAGUAGAAGAAAAAGACGUCACUCUAAAAAAAUUAGUACGAUAGAAAUUUUCAAGGAAAUUAGCCUAAUAUCCAUAUGUAACAACUUUUGAUUCGGAGACAUCCAAGUGUAUUUUUUUAUGUCAAGCAUCCUUUCAUGAGCAAUAUUGAUGCAUUUAAUCUCUUGUCACUUUUGGCCCAAGAGUUCUGCAAAUUCGUCGAGGAUGGGAUGCAU